rnacentral:rRNA from 1 species
UACGUAGGGGGCAAGCGUUGUCCGGAUUUAUUGGGCGUAAAGAGCGUGUAGGCGGCUUUACAGGUCCGUUGUGAAAACUCGAGGCUCAACCUCGAGACGCCGGUGGAAACCGUAAGGCUAGAGUCCGGAAGAGGAGAGUGGAAUUCCUGGUGUAGCGGUGAAAUGCGCAGAUAUCGGGAGGAACACCAGUGGCGAAGGCGGCUUCCUGGCCUGUUCUUGACGCUGAGGCGCGAAAGCUAGGGGAGCAAACGGG